rnacentral:rRNA from 1 species
AGCAGCCGCGGUAAUUCCAGCUGCAAUAGCGUAUAGUUAAAGUUGUUGCAGUUAAAAAGCUCGUAGUUGAAUUUCGGGGUCAGUAGGUCGGUCGUGCCACUGGUAUGAACUGGUUUUACUGAUUCCUCCCUCGUUGAAGAACUGUAAUGCCAUUAAUUUGUUGUUGCAGGGAAUCAGGACUGUUACUUUGAAAAAAUUAGAGUGUUUAAAGCAGGCUUUAGCUUGAAUACAUUAGCAUGGAAUAAUGAAAUAGGACGUUUGAUCCUAUUUUGUUGGUUUCUAGGAUUGACGUAAUGAUUAAUAGGGAUAGUUGGGGGCAUUAGUAUUCAAUUGUCAGAGGUGAAAUUCUUGGAUUUAUUGAAGACUAACUACUGCGAAAGCAUUUGCCAAGGAUGUUUUCAUUAAUCAAGAACGAAAGUUAGGGGAUCGAAGACGAUCAGAUACCGUCGUAGUCUUAACCAUAAACUAUGCCGACUAGGGAUCGGAUGAUGUUAAUUUUUUAAUGACUCA